rnacentral:rRNA from 1 species
CACGUAGUUAGCCGGGGCUUCUUAGUCAGGUACCGUCAUUUUCUUCCCUGCUGAUAGAAGUUUACAUACCGAAGUACUUCAUCCUUCACGCGGCGUCGCUGCAUCAGGGUUUCCCCCAUUGUGCAAUAUUCCCCACUGCUGCCUCCCGUAGGAGUUUGGGCCGUGUCUCAGUCCCAAUGUGGCCGGUCACCCUCUCAGGUCGGCUACUGAUCGUCGCCUUGGUGGGCCUUUACCCCACCAACUAGCUAAUCAGACGCGGGUCCAUCCCAUACCACCGGAGUUUUACCCCUGCGCCAUGCGGCGCUGUGGUCUUAUGCGGUAUUAGCAGACAUUCUAUCUGUUAUCCCCCUGUAUGGGGCAGGUUACCACGCGUACUCACCCGUCCGCCACUCAGUCACAGUACCAAUCAACCCGAAGGAAUCAAGGUAAAGCGCUUCGUUCGACUUGCAUGUGUUAAGCAACGCCGCCAGCGUCAUCUGUAGCAGAGUCAAACUACCU